UGGGGAAUCUUGGACAAUGGGGGCAACCCUGAUCCAGCAAUGCCGCGUGUGUGAAGAAGGCCUUCGGGUUGUAAAGCACUUUCGGUGGGGACAAACAAGGCGGAGCUAACAUCUCCGUCCCUGAUGGUACCCAAAGAAGAAGCACCGGCUAACUCUGUGCCAGCAGCCGCGGUAAUACAGAGGGUGCGAGCGUUAAUCGGAAUUACUGGGCGUAAAGCGUGCGUAGGUGGUUUGUUAAGUCAGGUGUGAAAUCCCGGGGCUCAACCUCGGAAUUGCGCUUGAUACUGGCAGACUCGAGUGUGGUAGAGGAUAGUGGAAUUCCCGGUGUAGCGGUGAAAUGCGUAGAGAUCGGGAGGAAGGCCGGUGGCGAAGGCGGCGCUCUGGAACGUUUCUGACGCUGAGGCUCGAAAGCGUGGGGAGCAAACAGGAUUAGAUACCCUGGUAGUCCACGCCGUAAACUAUGGGUGCUAGCCGUCGGGGAGCAUGCUCUUCGGUGGCGCAGCUAACGCUUUAAGCACCCCGCCUGGGGAGUACGGUCGCAAGAUUA
rnacentral:rRNA from 1 species